CCUACGGGAGGCAGCAGUGGGGAAUCUUGCGCAAUGCGCGAAAGCGUGACGCAGCAACGCCGCGUGGGGGAAGAAGGCCUUCGGGUUGUAAACCUCUUUCAGUUGGGACGAAGCUCCGCCGGUGAACAGCCGGCCGGAGUGACGGUACCUUCAGAAGAAGCCCCGGCUAACUACGUGCCAGCAGCCGCGGUAAUACGUAGGGGGCAAGCGUUGUCCGGAAUCAUUGGGCGUAAAGAGCGUGUAGGCGGCCCGGUAAGUCCGCUGUGAAAGUCCAGGGCUCAACCCUGGAAUGCCGGUGGAUACUGUCGGGCUCGAGUCCGGAAGAGGUGAGUGGAAUUCCUGGUGUAGCGGUGAAAUGCGCAGAUAUCAGGAGGAACACCAAUGGCGAAGGCAGCUCACUGGGACGGUACUGACGCUGAGACGCGAAAGCGUGGGGAGCA
rnacentral:rRNA from 1 species